UAACUUUGCCAAAGUUCUCUGCCAAAGUUGAGCACGUGAAGCUUGCAGCUCCCACUACAUCGCUCUGACCAAAAAGGGUAAAAGAAUAGCAAAGAAACAGCACUAACAAAGUUUAGACCCAUAAAUUUUGAAGGUCUAACUACCAUAUUAUUACCCACAAGGGUAAAGGAACAGUACCACUGCUGGAUAAUUGGAAAGUCCCUGUGUGUCAACCUCUGUGCUUCGUGGCAAGGUAGACUAGCAAACAUGCCCAACCUUUACUCACAUUCGAGAAAACACACUCCCAAUAAGAUUGCUUGCUCCAAAAUCGAAGAGGCACCGUCCUCCGAAUCUCGAGAGCCAGACUCCCAACAUGACUACUUUCUUAAAAAUCGAAGAGAGGGUAAAGGAAUAGUACCAUUGCUGGAUAAUUGGAAAGUCCCUAUGUGUCAACCUCUGUGCUUCGUGGCAAGGUAGACUAGCAAACAUGCCCAACCUUUACUCACAUUCGAGAAAACACUCCCAACAAGAUUGCUUGCUCCAAAAUCGAAGAGGCACCGCCCUCCGAAUCUCGAGAGCCAGACUCCCAACAUGAUUACUUUCUCAAAAAUCGAAGAGACACUGCUCCCCGAAUCUUCGAGAGCCAGACCCCCAGCAUGAUUACUUUCUCAAAAAUCGAUGAGGCAUCGUUCUCCGAAUCAAUCGAAGAGGCGCUCGCUUUCUCAAAAGCUGGGCUGCUCAGAGACCACGAGGGCCGAUCUCAGAAAUCGAAGAGGCACCUACUUUUCUAGCCUUGUCAGCACCUGUCACACGCAUACUCAGCUUUGCAGAAAUUAUGGGCAUUCUGUCGAAGACUUCUGGUGAAGUAGAAAGCACAUGAAUCUUACUGUUCAAUCACCCACUUCCUACACGCAACAAUAGCUCAUGGGUACCACAGAUAACUUUGCCAAAGUUCUCUGCCAAAGUUGAGCACGUGAAGCUUGCAGCUCCCACUACAUCGCUCUGACCAAGAAAGGUAAAAGAAUAGCAAAGAAACAACACUAACAAAGUUUAGUCACAUAAAUUUUGAAGGUCUAGCUACCAUAUUAUUACCCACAAGGGUAAAGGAACAGUACCACUGCUGGAUAAUUGGAAAGUCCCUGUUUGUCAACCUCUGUGCUUCGUGGCAAGGUAGACUAGAAAACAUGCCCAACCUUUACUCACAUUCGAGAAAACACUCCCAACAAGAUUGCUUGCUCCAAAAUCGAAGAG
rnacentral:lncRNA from 1 species